GACGAACGCUGGCGGCGUGCCUAACACAUGCAAGUCGAACGGAAAGGCCCUGCUUUUGUGGGGUGCUCGAGUGGCGAACGGGUGAGUAACACGUGAGUAACCCGUCCUUGACUUUGGGGUAACUUCAGGAAACAGGGGCUAAUACCGCAUAGGAGCUCUUGCUGCACGGUGGGGGAUGGAAAGUUUCGGCGGUUGGGGAUGGUCUGGCGGGUUAUCAGCUUGUUGGUGGGGUAGUGGUUUACCAAGGUUUUGACGGGUAGCCUGCCUGAGAGGGUGACCGGCCACCAUGGGACUGCGAUACGGCCCAGACUCCUACGGGACGCAGCAGGCGGGAGUAUUGCACAAUGAGCGGAAGCCAGAGACGGCAGCGCCGCGUGCGGGAUGACGGGCUUCGGGUUGUAAACCGAUGUCUACUGUGACGAAGCGAUCGUGACGGUAAUGGGUAAAGAAGCACCGGCUAACUACGUG
rnacentral:rRNA from 1 species